rnacentral:rRNA from 1 species
UACGGAGGAGGCAAGCGUUAUCCGGAAUUAUUGGGCGUAAAGCGUCCGCAGGUGGCACUUCAAGUCUGUCGUCAAAGACUGGGGCUUAACCCCAGAAAGGCAGUGGAAACUGAAGCGCUAGAGUGCAGUAGGGGUAGAGGGAAUUCCCGGUGUAGCGGUGAAAUGCGUAGAGAUCGGGAAGAACAUCGGUGGCGAAAGCGCUCUGCUAGGCCGCAACUGACACUGAGGGACGAAAGCUAGGGGAGCGAAUGGG